rnacentral:rRNA from 1 species
CGCGUAGGCGGACAUUUAAGUCAGGGUGAAAUCCGGGCUCAACCCCGGAACUGCCCUUGAUACUGGGUGUCUUGAGUUCGAGAGAGGUGAGUGGAAUUCCGAGUGUAGAGGUGAAAUUCGUAGAUAUUCGGAGGAACACCAGUGGCGAAAGGCGGCUCACUGGCUCGAUACUGACGCUGAGGUGCGAAAGUGUGGGGAGCAAACA